rnacentral:lncRNA from 1 species
AAGCUCAAUGACUUUGCUACAGCAUCUUUCCCAGUGUAAGGAGGCCUUCUGGUGGUCAAAACAGUGAAUACUUCUUCCAGAGAGCAUUACUCAUCCAAAUGCAAUAGAAGAGCAACUCCAUGCUCCCAGCUUUAUUCACAAUUCCAUGUGAAAACCACCCUUUCAAGCGUGCAUUUCCCACUGGAGGGAGAAGAGGGGAAAGGCAACACAGAGGAGGAGCAACACACUGAAGAUGGGGCCUGCAUGUCAACAGUUGAAAAGAAAAUGCAGUUUUACUUCUGCAAAGUGUCUGAAAAUCAGCAAGAUCUCUUGGGCUGAGGUGGUGAGAGACGUGGAGUAAGUUUUACAGAAGCUUCAGAGACCUGGUGCAAUUUCUCUUUACUGGUUGAACUGCUAAGGAGACUGCCCAGAAAGCAGUGCAUACAAACUCAUUCCCUUCUUCCAGAAGGCAAUUCAACUCCCUCAGAACACCUCCAUGAACUGCUAUGUUUGAUGGCUGGCAGUUGGACAGCAGCUGAGGUUUCACCAGGAAUCCCACGUAUGGCCAGAAGCAACAUACACCUCGGUGUUUCCGGGAGCCACAGGCAGCCAGAACAGAUGGUAGAAAUCAUCAUCCCCAGACAGUCA